rnacentral:rRNA from 1 species
GCAAGUCGAGGGGCAGCAUAGGACUUCGGUUCUGAUUGCUACCGGCGCACGGGUGAGUAACGCGUACACUACCUACCUUUAACAUAGGGAUAGCCCUGGGAAACUGGGAUUAAUACCACAUAGUAUUGCAUAAUUUAUUUUUAUGCAAUUAAAGCUCCGGUGGUUAAAGAUGGGUGUGCGUUAGAUUAGCUAGUUGGUAAGGUAAUGGCUUACCAAGGCUACGAUGUAUAGGGGGUGUGAGAGCGUGGAC